rnacentral:rRNA from 1 species
GCUUGCUUCUAUGACGUUAGCGGCGGACGGGUGAGUAACACGUGGGCAACCUGCCUGUAAGACUGGGAUAACUCCGGGAAACCGGAGCUAAUACCGGAUAACAUUUUUUCUUGCAUAAGAGAAAAUUGAAAGAUGGUUUCGGCUAUCACUUACAGAUGGGCCCGCGGUGCAUUAUCUAGUUGGUGAGGUAACGGCUCACCAAGGCAACGAUGCAUAGCCGACCUGAGAGGGUGAUCGGCCACACUGGGACUGAGACACGGCCCAGACUCCUACGGGAGGCAGCAGUAGGGAAUCUUCCGCAAUGGACGAAAGUCUGACGGAGCAACGCCGCGUGAGUGAUGAAGGCUUUCGGGUCGUAAAACUCUGUUGUUAGGGAAAAACAAGUACAAGAGUAACUGCUUGUACCUUGACGGUACCUAACCAGAAAGCCACGGCUAACUACGUGCCAGCAGCCGCGGUAAUACGUAGGUGGCAAGCGUUAUCCGGAAUUAUUGGGCGUAAAGCGCGCGCAGGCGGUUUCUUAAGUCUGAUGUGAAAGCCCACGGCUCAACCGUGGAGGGUCAUUGGAAACUGGGGAACUUGAGUGCAGAAGAGAAAAGCGGAAUUCCACGUGUAGCGGUGAAAUGCGUAGAGAUGUGGAGGAACACCAGUGGCGAACGCGGCUUUUUGGUCUGUAACUGACGCUGAGGCGCGA